rnacentral:rRNA from 1 species
CCUACGGGAGGCAGCAGUGGGGAAUAUUGGACAAUGGGGGCAACCCUGAUCCAGCCAUGCCGCGUGUGUGAAGAAGGCCUUCGGGUUGUAAAGCACUUUCAGUGAGGAAGAAGGCCUGCGGGUUAAUAGCCGGCAGGAAGGACAUCACUCACAGAAGAAGCACCGGCUAACUCCGUGCCAGCAGCCGCGGUAAUACGGAGGGUGCGAGCGUUAAUCGGAAUUACUGGGCGUAAAGCGCGCGUAGGUGGCUUGAUAAGCCGGUUGUGAAAGCCCCGGGCUCAACCUGGGAACGGCAUCCGGAACUGUCAGGCUAGAGUGCAGGAGAGGAAGGUAGAAUUCCCGGUGUAGCGGUGAAAUGCGUAGAGAUCGGGAGGAAUACCAGUGGCGAAGGCGGCCUUCUGGACUGACACUGACACUGAGGUGCGAAAGCGUGGGUAGCAAACAGGAUUAGAUACCCAAGUAGUC